rnacentral:rRNA from 1 species
UUUAAGGUCUAAUCUGCCCUAUGAGGAAUUAAAUGGCCGCGGUAUUUUGACCGUGCAAAGGUAGCAUAAUAAUUAGUUUUUUAAUUGAAAGCUGGAAUGAAUGAUUGGACGAGAAAAUUUCUGUCUCAAUUUAAUUUAAUUAGAAUUUUAUUUUUAAGUAAAAAAGCUUAAAUUUUUUUAAAAGACGAGAAGACCCUAUAGAGUUUUAUAUAUUUAUAAAUAUUUAAAUUUUUAGAAUUUUAUUUUUGUUAUUUUUGAAUAUAUUUUGUUGGGGUGAUAGAAAAAUUAAAUGAACUUUUUUUAUAUUUUUACAUUAAUUUAUGAUUAAAUGAUCCAUUUUUUAUGAUUAUAAGAUUAAAUUACCUUAGGGAUAACAGCGUAAUUUUUUUUUAGAGUUCUUAUCGAAAAAAUAGAUUGCGACCUCGAUGUUGGAUUAAAAUAAACAUUUGGUGUAGGGGCUAAAUAGUUAGGUCUGUUCGACCUUUAAAAUUUUACAUGAUCUGAGUUUAAACCGGCGUGAGCCAGGUUGGUUUCUAUCUUUAAAUAAAUAAAAUAUUUUAGUACGAAAGGACCAAAUAUUUGAUAUAUUAUUUUUGGUUUGAUUAUUAAUA